GUUGCACGAGUGCACGAGAACAUUUUCUAGAAGCCUCCCAAGUGAUAUGAAUGGAUCCACAAAUUUGAAUUCCUUGUCUGCUUAAGCCAAGCAAGAAUGAAGUCAGCUGCAAGAAAGAGGCACAAGGGUGCAGAAAAGGCUGAGCCAGCACACCAAAUGUGGCUGAAAUAUGAUGGUCACACAGCUCAG